rnacentral:lncRNA from 1 species
CAGACCUUACGGUUGUCUUCCCUUGUUCCCUAAAAAUCACUGUUAUUCUGUUCUGUUUCAAGGUGCACUGAUUUCAUAUUGUUCAAACACACAUGUUUCUAUAUACAGUGUUAUAAUGCCUAUAUUAUAAAACAAGAAAGGUGAAUAUAUCUUAUUAACACUGUUUUCUGGAAGACAUCUUUUUAGAGAAGAAAUAUGUAAAAUUAAUAUAUGCUCACUCUAAAAGACAAAUGAUGAUGCAAAAUCACCUAUAUAAAAAACUCCAUUGGAAUUGGCCAAAAAUUUUUAAUGAAUUUAGAAAAGUUGCAAGGUAUACCAUCGUACUGGAACAAUUGGAUAUGUAUAUGCAAAAAUAAAAUUCAAUCCACAUCUCACAUUGUGUACAAAACUUAGUGCAAAAUAGAUCUAUAGUUUAAUGGGAAGGGGUAUGAGAAAAAUUUCUAGAGUGUUUGUGUUAUUCUAUAUCUUUACAGGCUUUUCACUUAAAUAGUUCCUACACUGGUUGAAAUUCAUGGAUUGAUAAACUUAAGAAUUUUGGAUUUUAUUUAUUUAUACGUUUCUAUCAAAAAGAACAUAAGCAGCAAACUCUAGUUAGUCAUAGGCGUGUAAAAGUGUUUAGAAGUUGUUAUAGUGAUGCCUGUAACUUAUUAACUACUACCACCACCUCGUCAUACUCUGCUACCCAUCAAACUAAUGCCACUUCCAUUGCUAAACCCUAAAAUAAUUUAGAGUAAGUAAUUUUGCAUCCAUGUGUAUUACCUUUAAUGAUGCCAUAAACAAAAGUAGUUUGGUCUUCAGGACUUUAUUAGAAUCUUACUUUCUUUCUGAAAAUUAGUGUUAUACCAUUUAUAAUUUUGUUCUUUAUAUUUUGCAGAUGGUAAACCACUCUUUGGAUCAUUAAUUAUAUUUUUUAUAUUUAGCCAGAUAGUACCUUUUUCCCUCUAUUUGGGAAGUCUCAGAAAUGAAUAUAAUUUUCCGGUUAGCUAAAGGUCAAAUUUUGGGCAACCCAAUUAACCAUUUCAAGCCUGGGAAUGUUGACCAAGGGAAAAAAAAGAAAGAAAAAACACACUGAAAGAUAAGAAUUGGAUAUCUUUUAUAUGAGAAGAAAUUAAAUAUCAGUGAAAAUACAAACUUUCAUCAGAAGGAACAUUUAGUGUGUCAAAAUUCUGAUUGAAAUGUUUCUUUUACCAGAAGUGUACAAGCAUAGAUUUCAUGUCCAUUUAUUAUAUAUGUGGUUGGAAUAAAGAUAUAAUUCUAUAAUUUUUAUAGACCUGCCUCAUUAUAAGUCACAAGAAAAGCAUGUUGAAACUAUGACUUUAGUUAAUAAUAAUGUAUUACAUCAUUCAUAAUUGCUAAGAGAGUGAACUUCAAAUCUUCUCAUCAACAAAAAAGUGAUAUAUGAGGUGAUAGAUUUGUUCAUUAGUUUGAUUUACUCACUCUACAUUGUAUACAUAUAUCAAACAUCACAUUGUACCCCACAGAAUAAAUAAUUAAAAUUUGUCCGUAAAAAUAAAUAACUACAAAUUUUUUGAAAAGUGCCCAAAUGUUAUGCCAUCACAAUUCAGAAUAAUUUAGUGUGAUUUACCAGCUUCUAUUAUUCUACACCACACCAGUCAUGUAAAUGGCAUUAAAUGGUCCUUCUACUUAACUGUGAAUUCCUUUGAAAGCGUGAGGAAUUACUUUAAUUUUUGUAUCUCCAGUAUAAAACAGAGUACCUAAUAUGCAUUUGCUAAUUUCGAAUAUGAAAUGAAUGAUUAAAGGUUACACAUAUUAAUACCUAAGAAAUAGAUGCCUAUAGUACAUUUAGAAAUAUAAUAGUAACAGAAAAUUAUAUUUUCUAGUUGUGAUGCUUAAAGUAACUCUGUCUUCUAAAAAUAUGUGUAUUUUUAUUUCUAGACAGAAUAAUUAACGGUUUUUUCUCAUUUUGAGUAAAAACGUUUCUGGAGAAUACAGGUCUCUAAACCUGGAUUUGCACCAAAUUCUGCUCUUGCAGGGAUUCAAAUUCAACAUGUCUGUGACUGACCCCAAGCAUAUCAAUUAUUUUAACAUUUCACAGUUGAAUCUGGUAAUUACCUUAAAACAGCUGUUCUAGACUUAUAGUAGUUACUCAAAACCCUGACCUAUACACUGAAAAAUCAAUAAUUUUUACUGGACCAAGCUAUUUGCAAAGGGUGUUUAUAUACUAGAUUAGGAAGCCACAUUCAUUAAUGAGUAGUUUCUUUAUCACGGUCUCUUUAAAAGAAUCAUUUGGGGUAAAUUUCCUUUCUUGCUGACAUUAUUCCUGAUAAAAACAUCUUUAAAAUUUAGAUUAUUUAAAAAGCUGCUAUUGUUUAUUAAACAUGAUAGUCAUAGAAAAUUCUGUUGGUGAAAUUAAUGCAUGUAGUCUGUCACUACCUGUAAUUUCCCAUCUCUUGCACUGUGUUAAUAACCCCUUUACACUGCAUGGGUAAGAAUUAAAUUAGAAUCAAAAAUCAAAACAGAGAUAUUGGCAAUAUUUCUAAUGUUUCAACAGUAAUAUUUUCAAACAUUUUAAAGUUGAAGUUUAAUCAGAACCACGUGUUACAUUUCUCCAUAGCCACAUACCAAAGAAAGAGAAAUGAUUCAUACUGUUAAAAGAAAAACUCAAACAAUGAAUUAUUAAUUAGGCAGCACUUUAGAACUAGAAGCAGCUCAAAGAGCUCUGCCAAUACUGUGAGUAGUGAGCAUUUAUAGGCCAAAUGAGAAAACAAGGUAGAGACAUCACCUGAUUGGCUACAGCUGGGCUUCUGCCUCUUUUAGGCAUGGUAUGAUAAGUUGGCUGCUUGUCAUUGGCUGAAGCUCCACUGUUUGUGCUGGUAUUUCUGAAAUCCAGGUAUUUUUUCUUUUCUUUUUUUUUUUUUUUUUUUUUUUUUUGAGAUGGAGUCUCGCUCUGUCGCCCAGGCUGGAGUGCAGUGGCGCAAUCUGGGCUCGCUGCAAACUCCUCGUCUCAGGUUCUUGCUAUUCUCCUGCCUCAGCCUCCCGAGUAGCUGGGACUACAGGCGCCGGCCACCACACCUGGCUAAUUUUUUGUAUUUUUAGUAGAGACGGGGUUUCACCGUGUUAGCCAGGAGAGUCUUGAUCUCCUGACCUCAUGAUCUGCCCGCCUCGGCCUCCCAAAGUGCUGGGAUUACAGGCCUGAGCCACUGCGCCCAGCCAAAUCCACGGAUUUCUUACACAACAAAUAUACUCCUGAGUUAGGAUUCAGUUUGCUUCAAUGCUAAUCUAGGUUGUGAUUUUUUACAUAGGAACUGAAAGUACAGAACAGCCUCAGACUAAUGGCUUCCUGCUCAUUUAACAAUACACAGAAUUUUAUAAACUAAUUUUGUAGUGACAACUAGGUUUCUUUAUUUUUUAUCCUCCUAGACUGUACUAAAUGUUAGUCAAUUACUACAAAAUAGAAAAGUGGAUAGAUUUGUGACAAAGCUGACAGCCACAAGAAGGUCCUAUGCCUAUGCAAGAGAUCAAGGGAAACAAGGAGUGAUCAGUGUUUAACACAGAAUAAAUAGUCGUUAAACUCUUAGAUAAUUUAUUGGAAAUAAAUGGUAAUACUAAUUGGCCUGAUAUUAUAUUUUGCUUCAAAAGUAUAUGCCAUUUAGUUUUAAACAUUACUUCAGAUACAUUUGGAAGAAAAACAGGAGAUUUUUAUGUAAAUUUCAAUAUCGAAAAUGAAGGCUCUUAAAUUAUUUUAUUAAUACAUAGAAUCACAUUGUGUGAUCCUUCUAAAUAUUCCUCUCUAUAUUCCAAUUACUAGUUUAAAAAGUGAAGAUUCUUUUUUUUUGCAAACAGAAAGAUUGCCUAAUAGUUUUUUUAAAGCCGAGAAUAUAUAUCUUCUUAAAUCAAAAUGUAUUUUAUUUCAGUCCAAACUUAAAAGAAUUCUAUUAUAAGUUGCUCCAAACUAUUUAUUUAUUAUAAAAAAAUAGAGAAUUUAUUAUUGCAUCAGGCAAGAAAAACGAAAACAUAUCAUAUACUCUAUUUGACACAUUAUGUCUCUUUUGAAGAAAUCAUACCUGAGUUCUUUAGUUAAAAAUUGAAUAGUGUUCAAGUCUAAUAUAUUGUAUCA